rnacentral:lncRNA from 1 species
AUGCCUGAUCUCUCGAAAAGAAAAGGGGACGCUUCACCGCGAAAGCUUGACUGCCGUGGCUCCUUCAGUUUAAACAACAUUUACGAAACCGUUAUGAAAAUCUGGAAUCUGGAAGGCGGUCUGGAUGCGAUCUGCUUAGCCCUCGGCCCGGACUGUUCUCUCCCUUGCUGUUGCUUUCUGGUUCAAAAUAAAAUCAUUUCUGUGGUUCCGAGGCCCUCUGUCUCGCCUGUCUCUGUUGCCUUGUCAUCAUUUUGUGUCUUCUGCUGGUUUCUUGAACUCCUUUGCAACAUACGGUGUCUCCUUUCCCUGCCCGAAACUCUCCCGUCCGGCAUCCCGCUUCUCUGCGUGCAAAAUGCAGUUCCUUGACAAGCCUCAAAAUAAUGCCUAGGAAAUUUCAAAACCACAGUAAGAUCCGUACAGGAGUGGAGAUCCAGCACAAGAAGGCUUGAUGUCGAGUCUUAAGUCUAUCCCCACCCCCAUCCCAUGGCCCCGGGACUUGACCUUCUCCCGUUAGAGGUGCAAGCCCUUUCGAUGGAAGCCCGGGCUCUGCCGAGUGGUCGUGGGUCCCCGGCCUCAGUGCCACCUGCGAGCUGCUUAGAGAUGCCCGUUCUCCAGCCCUACGCCCUGACCUCCUCGGCAGCAUCUCCGGGAGUGGGAGCAGCAGUAAGUUCUAACAGGCCUUCCCGGCGAUUCUGAUGCUGGCCACAGUUUGUGAAGCAAAGCCCCGGAAGGCUUUACCCAGUCCCCUCUCCCGUGCGAAAAACGCGCUUACGACCUGAAGUGUGUUUUCGAGGUAAAGUGCUUCAGAGGCCGUAGGAUGUAAUGCGGUGAUUGGUUCUUAACCCGGCAGAGCACGAAACUUGCCUUUUCUUUUUUAGAAAUGCUGACUCCUGGAUCCCCUUUCUGAAACACUGGGGCUGAGAAGGUCUGGAGUGUGGCCCAGCACGCUGCCCUUUGGUUUCGAGUGAUUCGAAAGUGCUAGACACCUGGGGCGCGGCACCUUUUUCUUUUGCCUUUUUUUUUCAGUGUUUAUUUAUUUUGAGAGAGAGACAGAGCACGGGCAGGGGAGGGGCAGAGAGAGAGAGAGGGAGACACAGAAUCGGAAGCAGGUUCCGGGGUCUGAGCUGUCAGCGCAGAGCCUGACACGGGGCUCCAACUCACAAAAUGUGAAAACGGGACCUGAGCCGAAGUUGGAUGCUUAACGGACUGAGCCACCCAGGCGCCCCUCAACACGUUUUCUAUGAAAGUCAGAUAGUGAGUUUUUUUAGGGUUCGCAGGUCAUACCUAUGUCUGUGGCAACCUCUUAACUCUGCAGCUAUAGAGUGAAAGCAGCCAUAGAGGAUACGUAAAUGAAUGGGUGAGGCUGGGUUCCAAUAAAACUUUACAAAAACAGGCA